CAGUCGCCGCGGGAAUACAGAGGGUGCGAGCGUUAAUCGGAUUUACUGGGCGUAAAGCGUGCGUAGGCGGCUUCUUAAGUCGGAUGUGAAAUCCCUGAGCUUAACUUAGGAAUUGCAUUCGAUACUGGGAAGCUAGAGUAUGGGAGAGGAUGGUAGAAUUCCAGGUGUAGCGGUGAAAUGCGUAGAGAUCUGGAGGAAUACCGAUGGCGAAGGCAGCCAUCUGGCCUAAUACUGACGCCGAGGUACGAAAGCAUGGGGAGCAAACAGGAUUAGAUACCCCGGUAGUCCCUGUCUCUUAUAC
rnacentral:rRNA from 1 species